AGGAUGAACGCUGGCGGCGUGCCUAAUACAUGCAAGUCGAGCGGUAAGGCCCCUUCGGGGGUACACGAGCGGCGGACGGCUGAGUAACACGUAGGAACGUACCCCAAAGUGAGGGAUAAGCACCAGAAAUGGUGUCUAAUACCGCAUGUGCUCUUCGGAGGAAAGCUUCGGCGCUUUGGGAACGGCCUGCGCAUGAUUAGCUUGUUGGUGAGGUAAUGGCUCACCAAGGCGACGAUCAUUAGCUGGUCUGAGAGGAUGAUCAGCCAGACUGGGACUGAGAACGGCCCAGACUCCUACGGGAGGCAGCAGUAGGGAAUUUUCCACAAUGGGCGAAAGCCUGAUGGAGCAACGCCGCGUGCAGGAUGAAUGCCUUCGGGUUGUAAACUGCUUUUAUAUGUGACGAAUAUGACGGUAGCAUAUGAAUAAGGAUCGGCUAACUCCGCGCCAGCAGCCGCGGU
rnacentral:rRNA from 1 species